ensembl:lncRNA OR7E91P olfactory receptor family 7 subfamily E member 91 pseudogene
CAGCAUACAAGCUUAUGGAGCAGCCCCCUUUGGAGAUCUCCAGGUAGACUUCAGAGAGAUGCCAAAGUGUGGAGAUCUGAUUCCUAGAUUUCGACUGCCCUUACGGAUCGGCUCACAUAACGGGCCUGCGUUUUUGGCUGCCAUGGUACAGAAGACGGCAAAGGUAUUGGGGAUCACACGGAAACUGCAUGCCGCCUCCCAGCCUCAGAGUUCCGGAAAGGUGUCCAAGUCACACAGAGCCACGGAAUCUCACAGGAGCCUGAGAACUCCUCCUCCUGGGACUCUCAGAGGAUCCAGAACUGCAGCCCAUCCUCGCUGGGCUGUCCCUGUCCAUGUAUCUGGUCACGGUGCUGAGGAACCUCCUCAUCAGCCUGGCUGUCAGCUCUGACUCCCACCUCCACACCCCAAUGUGCUUCUUCCUCUCCAACCUGUGCUGGGCUGACAUCGGUUUCACCUCGGCCACGGUUCCCAAGAUGAUUGUGGACAUGCGGUCGCAUAGCGGAGUCAUCUCUUAUGCGGACUGCCUGACACGGAUGUCUUUCUUGGUCCUUUUUGCAUGUGUAGAAGACAUGCUCCUGACUGUGAUGGCCUAUGACUGUUUUGUAGCCAUCUGUCGCCCUCUGCACUACCCAGUCAUCGUGAAUCCUCACCUCUGUGUCUUCUUAGUUUCGGUGUCCUUUUCCUUAGCCUGUUGGAUUCCCAGCUGCGCAGUUGGAUUGUGUUGCAAUUCACCUUCUUCAAGAAUGUGGAAAUCUCUAAUUUUGUCUGUGACCCAUCUCAACCUCUCAAGCUUGCCUGUUCUGACAGCAUCAUCGAUAGCAUGUUCAUAUAUUUCGAUAGUACUAUGUUUGGUUUUCUUCCCAUUUCAGGGAUCCUUUUGUCUUACUAUAAAAUUGUCCCCUCCAUUCUAAGGAUUUCAUCGUCAGAUGGGUAGUAUAAAGCCUUCUCCGCCUGUGGCUCUCACCUGCCAGUUGUUUGCUUAUUUUAUGGAACAGGCAUUGGCGUGUACCUGACUUCAGCUGUGGCACCACCCCUCAGGAAUGGUGUGGUGGCGUCAGUGACGUAUGCUGUGGUCACCCCCAUGCUGAACCCUUUCAUCUACAGCCUGAGAAACAGGGACAUUCAAAGCGCCCUGUGGAGGCUGCGCAGCAGAACAGUCAAAUCUCAUGAUCUGUUCCAUCCUUUUUCUUGUGUGGGU